rnacentral:rRNA from 1 species
AGAGUUUGAUCAUGGCUCAGGAUGAACGCUGGCGGCGCGCUUAAUACAUGCAAGUCGAACGGAGACAUUAGCAAUAAUGUCUUAGUGGCGAACGGGUGAGUAACGCGUUGGUGACCUGCCCCGAAGAGGGGGAUAACAGUCCGAAAGGAUUGCUAAUACCCCAUGUGGUCGUUUGGAUUAGAUGCCUUAUGACUAAACGGAUUUAUUCGCUUCGGGAGGGGCCUGCGUCCCAUCAGCUAGUUGGUAGGGUAAUAGCCUACCAAGGCGAUGACGGGUAGGGGACCUGAGAGGGUGGCCCCCCACAAUGGAACUGAAACACGGUCCAUACACCUACGGGUGGCAGCAGUAGGGAAUAUUGGUAAUCUGGGAAACCGGGAACCAGCAACGCCGCGUGCGCGAUGAAGGCCUUCGGGUUGUAAAGCGCUUUUUGAAGGGAUGAGGAAGGACAGUACCUUCAGAAUAAGCCUCGGCUAACUACGUGCCAGCAGCCGCGGUAAAACGUAGGAGGCGAGCGUUAUCCGGAUUUACUGGGCGUAAAGCGUGUGUAGGCGGUUUGAUAAGUUGGAUGUGAAAGCUCCUGGCUCAACUGGGAGAGGUCGUUCAAAACUAUCAGACUCGAGAGUGGUAGGGGGAGGUGGAAUUCCGCGUGUAGUGGUGAAAUGCGUAGAUAUGCGGAGGAACACCAGUGGCGAAAGCGGCCUCCUGGCCCAUUUCUGACGCUCAGACACGAAAGCUAAGUAGCAAACGGGAUUAGAGACCCCGGUAGUCUUA